GAGAUUUGUAGAGGUAAGGAUGGUGUGGGGGAGAGUAGUGGUGGACUGGAGGAGGAGGUGACUUAUAUACGUACUUUUUCUUAGGUGGUGGUGGGGAAUGAUAAACCGGAGGAGGAGAGUAGUGCUUAACCGGAGGAGGAGGGGAUUUGUAGACGUAGUGCUUCUUUGGUGGUGGUGGAGAAUGGUAAACCGGUGGUGGAGAAUAGUGUUUAACUGGAGGAGGAGGGGAUUUGUACACGUAAUGUUUCUUUGGUGGUGGUGGGGAAUGGUAAACCGGAGGGGGAGAGUAGUGUUUCACUGGAGGAGGAGGAGAUUUGUAGACGUAGUGUUUCUUUGGUGGGGGUGGGGAAUGGUAAACUGGAGGAGGGGAGUAGUGCUUAACCGGGGGAGGAGGGGAUUUGUACACGUAGUGUUUCUUUGGUGGUGGUGGAGAGUGGUAAACUGGAGGUGGAGAAUAGUGCUUAACUGGAGGAGGAGGUGAUUUGUACACGUAGUGUUUCUUUGGUGGUGGUGGAGAGUGGUAAACCGGGGGAGGAGAGUAGUGUUUAACCGGUGGUGGAGGAGAUUUGUAGACAUAAUGCUUUUUAGGUGGGGGUGGGGAAUGGUAAACUGGAGGUGGUGAGUAGUGUUUAACCGGAGGAGGAGGAGAUUUGUAUACGUAAUGUUUUUUGGGUGGUGGUGGUGAAUGGUAGACUGGUGGGGGAGAGUAGUGCUUAACAGGUGGGGGUGGAGAUUUGUACACAUAGUGCUUCUUGGGUGGUGGUGGAGAAUGGUAAACAGGAGGAGGAGAAUAGUGUUUAACCGGAGGAGGAGGGGAUUUGUACACAUAGUGCUUCUUUGGUGGUGGUGGAGAAUGGUAAACCGGUGGUGGAGAGUAGUGCUUAACCGGAGGAGGAGGGGAUUUGUACACGUAGUCCUUUUUUGGUGGUGGUGGAGAGUGAUAAACCGGUGGUGGAGAAUAGUGCUUGACCGGAGGAGGAGGGGAUUUGUAUUCGUAGUGUUUUUUAGGUGGUGGUGGAGAAUGGUAAACUGGAGAGGGAGAGUAAUGCUUAACAGGAGGAGGUGGAGAUUUGUAUUGGUAGUGUUUAACCGGAGGUGGAGGAGAAGAGUAGAAAUAGUUAGCGGUUGAUUGAGAUACGAAGGUGAGAGAGAUUGUCAAGACAAGCAAAGUUGCUACUAAAGAGGCCACUGGAGACCCCAUUGAUUGUU
rnacentral:lncRNA from 1 species